GAGGGGGGAUGCAAGCGGUAUCGGGAAUCACUGGGCGUAAAGCGUCUGUAGGUGGUGAUGCAAGUCACUGGUGCAAAACUCUGGCUCAACCGGAGGAAAGCCAGUGAAACUGCAUGACUAGAGUGUGGGAGAGGUAGAAGGAAUUCCCUGAGUAGCGGUGAAAUGCGUAGAUACAGGGAAGAACACCGGAGGCGAAAGCGUUCUACUGGAACACAACUGACACUGAGAGACGAAAGCUAGGGGAGAGAAUGGG
rnacentral:rRNA from 1 species